rnacentral:rRNA from 1 species
AACGAACGCUGGCGGCAGGCUUAACACAUGCAAGUCGAGCGCAUCCUUCGGGGUGAGCGGCGGACGGGUGAGUAACGCGUGGGAACGUGCCCUCUUCUACGGAAUAGCCUCGGGAAACUGAGAGUAAUGCCGUAUACGCCCGCAAGGGGAAAGAUUUAUCGGAGGAGGAUCGGCCCGCGUUGGAUUAGGUAGUUGGUGGGGUAACGGCCUACCAAGCCGACGAUCCAUAGCUGGUUUGAGAGGAUGAUCAGCCACACUGGGACUGAGACACGGCCCAGACUAGAGCGGGGAGCAGGGGUGGGGGAGCGUGGAGAAGGGGGCCGCACCGGCUGCAAGCAGGUGGGGUGUGUGAAGAAGGCGUGAGAGUUGAAAAGAGCUUGAAGGGGGAAAAAUGAAGACGGGACAAGAAGGAGAGGCCCCGGCCAAGUCCGGGACGGCGGCCGGGGUAAUAUUGGGAAGAGCAACCGGCUGAAC